UGGGGAAUCUUGCACAAUGGGGGAAACCCUGAUGCAGCGACGCCGCGUGAGCGAUGAAGGUCUUCGAAUCGUAAAGCUCUGUCCUAUGGGAAGAUAAUGACGGUACCAUGGGAGGAAGCCCCGGCUAACUACGCGCCAGCAGCCGCGGUAAUACGUAGGGGCGAGCGUUGUCCGGAAUUACUGGGCGUAAAGGGUUCGCAGGCGGCAUGGCAAGUCCGAUGUAAAAGGGGAAGGCUCAACCUUCGUAAGCAUCGGAAACUGUCAAGCUUGAGUGAAGGAGAGGCAAGUGGAAUUCCUAGUGUAGCGGUGGAAUGCGUAGAUAUUAGGAGGAAUACCGGUGGCGUAGGCGACUUGCUGGACUUCAACUGACGCUGAGGAACGAAAGCGUGGGUAGCAAACAGG
rnacentral:rRNA from 1 species